UCUUGUUUUCAUUCAGUUUCAGCCAAAAUUACCAUAUCCUCAGGUGUCAGUGGAUAUUGAAAUUUCCAGACAUAACCAAGAGGCACAUGGGCACUGCUUUUCAAAAAGGCUAAAACUCCAGGCAAUGUGGAAGUCUCCAAGGCAGCUGUAGCUGUUUCCAUAAUUCACAAGACAAGAACCACCCGAGGUCAGAAGUUGCUUUGAUCUUCUUGAUUCCAAGGAAACAAAAUGUCACCUGAGCAGAGGGAAGAAGUGACAGAGAAAGUACAGAAAACUAUCAGGUCAUUGAACAAAAGAGACUAUAUGCAGGCUACACUGUAG
rnacentral:lncRNA from 1 species